rnacentral:rRNA from 1 species
CUGCUGCCUUCCGUAGGAGUUUGGGCCGUGUCUCAGUCCCAAUGUGGCCGUCCACCCUCUCAGGCCGGCUACUGAUCGUCGGCUUGGUGGGCCGUUACCCCGCCAACUACCUAAUCAGACGCGGGUCCAUCUUACACCACCGGAGUUUUCCGCACCAGGCCAUGCGGCCCUGUGCGCAUAUGCGGUAUUAGCAGCCGUUUCCAGCUGUUGUCCCCCUGUGUAAGGCAGGUUGCCCACGCGUUACUCACCCGUCCGCCACU